CGGGCUAAUUACGUGCCAGCAGCCGCGGUAAUACGUAAGGACCAAGCGUUAUCCGGAAUUACUGGGCGUAAAGGGUGCGCAGGCGGGCAUGCAAGUCUGACGUGAAAGCCCCGAGCUUAACUCGGGAAGUGCGCCGGAAACUGCAUGUCUUGAGGACCAGAGAGGCAGAGAGAAUUCCUGGUGUAGCGGUGAAAUGCGUAGAUAUCAGGAGGAAUACCUGUGGCGAAAGCGCUCUGCUGGAUGGUUCCUGACGCUGAGGCACGAAAGCGUGGGUAGCAAACGGGAUUAGAUACCCCGGUAGUCUACGCCAUAAACGAUGGGUAUUAGGUGUGGCAGGUUCCAACCUGCCGUGCCGUAGCUAACGCAUUAAAUACCCCGCCUGGGAAUUACGACCGCAAGGUUGAAACUCAAAGGAAUUGACGGGGGCCCGCACAACCGGUGGAGCACGUGGUUUAAUUGGAUGCAAAGCCAAGAACCUUACCAAGCUUUGACAUGUCAGUGGUAGGAACCCUUAAAGGGGAUCCGACUCCACGCUUUGCGUGGAGAGCUGUCACAGGUGGUGCAUGGCUGUCGUCAGCUCGUGCCGUGAGGUGUUGGGUUAAGUCCCGCAACGAGCAAAACCCCUGUCCUUAGUUGCCAGCAUUCAGUUGGGGACUCUAAGGACACUGCCCGGGAAAACCGGGAGGAAGGUGGGGAUGACGUCAAGUCCUUAUGCCCCUUAUAGCUUGGGCUACACACGUGCUACAAUGGGUGGUACAAAGGGUUGCAACACCGGAAGGUGUAGCGAAUCCCGUAAGACCAUUCUUAGUUCGGAUUGCAGUCUGCAACUCGACUGCAUGAAGUAGGAAUCGGUAGUAAUCGCGGAUCAGCAACGCCGCGGUGAAUACGUUCUCGGGCCUUGUACACACCGCCCGUCACACCACAAAAGUCGGCAAUACCCGAAGUCAGCGACCUCACGGGCGCUGCG
rnacentral:rRNA from 1 species